UACGUAGGGUGCGAGCGUUGUCCGGAAUUAUUGGGCGUAAAGGGCUCGUAGGCGGUCUGUCGCGUCGGGAGUGAAAACUCAGGGCUUAACCCUGAGCCUGCCUCCGAUACGGGCAGACUAGAGGUAUGCAGGGGAGAACGGAAUUCCUGGUGUAGCGGUGAAAUGCGCAGAUAUCAGGAGGAACACCGGUGGCGAAGGCGGUUCUCUGGGCAUUACCUGACGCUGAGGAGCGAAAGUGUGGGGAGCGAACAGG
rnacentral:rRNA from 1 species